AUUGAACGCUGGCGGCAGGCCUAACACAUGCACGUCGAACGAGUGGCGGACGGGUGAGUAAUGCCCGGGAAACUGCCUGAUGGAGGGGGAUAACUACUGGAAACGGUAGCUAAUACCGCAUACCAUCAGAUGUGCCCAGAGGGGAUUAGCUAGUUGGUGGGGUACCGGCUCACCAAGGCGACGAUCCCUAGCGGGUCUGAGAGGAUGACCAUCCACACUGGAGCUGAGACACGGUCCAGACUCCUACGUGAGGCAGCAGUGGGGAAUAUUGCACAAUGGGCGCAAGCCUGAUGCAGCCAUGCAGCGUGUAUGAGGAAGGCCUUCGGGUUGUAAAGUACUUUCGGCGGGGAGGCGUUACCCGCAGAAGAAGCACCGGCUAACUCCGUGCCAGCAGCCGCGGUAAUUC
rnacentral:rRNA from 1 species